GAUGAACGCUGGCGGCGUGCCUAAUACAUGCAAGUCGAGCGAACAGAUGAGGAGCUUGCUCCUCUGACGUUAGCGGCGGACGGGUGAGUAACACGUGGAUAACCUACCUAUAAGACUGGGAUAACUUCGGGAAACCGGAGCUAAUACCGGAUAAUAUAUUGAACCGCAUGGUUCAAUAGUGAAAGACGGUUUUGCUGUCACUUAGAGAUGGAUCCGCGCCGCAUUAGCUAGUUGGUAAGGUAACGGCUUACCAAGGGAACGAUGCGUAGCCGACCUGAGGGGGUGAUCGGCCACCUGGGAGCUGAGACACGGUCCAGACUCCUACGGGAGGCAGCAGUAGGGAAUCUUCCGCAAUGGGCGAAAGCCUGACGGAGCGACCCCGCGUGAGUGAUGAAGGUCUUCGGAUCGUAAAACUCUGUUAUUAGGGAAGAACAAAUGUGUAAGUAACUAUGCACGUCUUGACGGUACCUAAUCAGAAAGCCACGGCUAACUACGUG
rnacentral:rRNA from 1 species